rnacentral:rRNA from 1 species
UAGGCCUAACACAUGCAAGUCGAGCGAGGACUUCGGUCCUAGCGGCGGACGGGUGAGUAACGCGUGGGAACGUGCCCUUUGCUUCGGAAUAGCCCUGGGAAACUGGGAGUAAUACCGAAUGUGCCCUUUGGGGGAAAGAUUUAUCGGCAAAGGAUCGGCCCGCGUUGGAUUAGGUAGUUGGUGGGGUAAUGGCCUACCAAGCCGACGAUCCAUAGCUGGUUUGAGAGGAUGAUCAGCCACACUGGGACUGAGACACGGCCCAGACUCCUACGGGAGGCAGCAGUGGGGAAUCUUAGACAAUGGGCGCAAGCCUGAUCUAGCCAUGCCGCGUGAGCGAUGAAGGCCUUAGGGUUGUAAAGCUCUUUCAGCGAGGAAGAUAAUGACUGUACUCGCAGAAGAAGCCCCGGCUAACUCCGUGCCAGCAGCCGCGGUAAU